UGAUUUGCAGAGCGAUAUUAGAUUUGAAACAUGGAGAAACUUUCAAUCGUUAUUAAUUGCUUUUAACCCUUUUGUCUUUUCUUCUUUUUAAGGUUGUAAUCUUAAAAUUUUCAACAACCAAGAAUUUGCGGCCUUGCUGGCUCAGUCGGUCAACCAGGGUUUUGAGGCUGUUUACCAGCUAACCAGGAUGUGCACCAUACGCAUGAGCUUUGUUAAAGGCUGGGGAGCUGAGUACAGGCGGCAGACUGUCACAAGCACUCCUUGUUGGAUAGAGCUUCAUUUAAACGGUCCACUGCAGUGGCUGGACAAAGUUCUAACCCAGAUGGGUUCUCCGUCUGCACGAUGUUCCAGCAUGUCAUAAAUGACUCAAGAAAAAAAAAACUCAGCCUAUUACAAAGAUGAUUAAAUUCUAAACAUACAACUCUA